GGCCCUUACGGGCUGGGCUACACACGUGCUACAAUGGCGGUGACAGUGGGAUGACGAAGGGGCGACCCGGAGCCGAAUCCCCAAAAACCCGUCCCAGUUCGGAUUGCACUCUGCAACUCGAGUGCAUGAAGUUGGAAUCGCUAGUAAUCGCGGAUCAGCAUGCCGCGGUGAAUACGUUCCCGGGCCUU
rnacentral:rRNA from 1 species